GAUGAACGCUAGCUACAGGCUUAACACAUGCAAGUCGCGGGGCAGCAUGGGGGUUGCUUGCAACCCCUGAUGGCGACCGGCGCACGGGUGAGUAACGCGUAUCCAACCUGCCCUUCACCACGGGAUAACCCGGCGAAACUCGUACUAAUACCGUAUGUUGUCCAUUUACGGCAGCCGAUUUGGACGAGAGGCUGGGCGGUGUAAGGAUGUGGAUGCGUGCGAUUGGGGUGACGGCGGGGUAACGGCCCACCGUGGCUACGAUCGGUAAGGGUUCUGGGAGGAGGGUCCCCGACACUGGGACUGGGACCCGGGCCAGACUCCUACGGGAGGCAGCAGUGAGGGAUAUAGGACAAUGGGCGAAAGCAUGAUGCGGCCAAGUAGCGUGCAGGAUGGCGGCGCUAUGGGUGGUAAACUGCUUUUAGGCGGGGAUAAAGUGGACCGCGGGUGGGCUUUUGACGGUACCGGAUGAAUAAGGACCGGCUAACUCCGUG
rnacentral:rRNA from 1 species